AUCCAUAGGUUAGUGCCAUUGAACCCAUAAAUCGAAGCAAAAUCAAGAAGAAAAAAAGAAAUGACUACUAUCAAGGACUAAAACCCCUAGUUUAAACCAGCCGACUAAAGAGGAUUCCAAAUAAUAGACCAAAUCACUAUAAAAUCCCAAAAAUCAUAACGUAAAUCUAAGAAAAAAAUUUUCGGAUCUAGAUCGAACACCAACCCUAGA
rnacentral:lncRNA from 1 species